rnacentral:rRNA from 1 species
AGGAUUCAGUCUGUAGUUGCCAUCGGGCUGGUCGGGGGCUUCCCCGGGGCCGUCCGAUCGCCAAGGACAGACGCAUUUGACUCCCUCUCCGAGGACGCCGCAGCCCGCGGGGAAGUGCAAACGUGACGGCCUUGAAGGCGGGAGAUGGCAGGUGGCCGGUGGCGAGCCUCGUGCUCUUCGCCGGUUGUUAGCCGUCCCGUCGGUGGCUCGUCUCCCCGCGGAGGUAUCAUGUCGUCCUGCGGGGCGACUGCAUCUCCUCCUCGUCCGGACGUGCAGUGGCGAGAGAAGGCAACCGCGCGGCCGCACUCUUCCGGAGUGGGCCAGCGGCCGGCGGCCGCUGAGGACC